GGGUCCUGUGCAACGAUGUACCAUGAACCUGGUCAGGUCCGGAAGGAAGCAGCCAUAAGUGGUUCACAUCGUGUGCCGCAGGGGAGCCUGGC
rnacentral:SRP_RNA from 1 species